CCUACGGGAGUCUGCAGUGAGGAAUCUUGGUCAAUGGGCGCGAGCCUGAACCAGCCAAGUCGCGUGAGGGAAGACGGUCCUAUGGAUUGUAAACCUCUUUUGUCGGGGAGCAAAAGACGCCACGCGUGGCGUUCCGAGAGUACCCGAAGAAAAAGCAUAGGCUAACUCCGUGCCAGCAGCCGCGGUAAUACGGAGGAUGCGAGCGUUAUCCGGAUUGCUUGGGGUGAACGGGUGCGCAGGCGGAAGAUCAAGUCAGCGGUAAAAUUGAGAUGCUCAAACUCUUCGAGCCGUUGAAACUGGUUUUCUUGAGUGAGCGAGAAGUAUGCGGAAU
rnacentral:rRNA from 1 species